AACUUUUACAACGGAUCUCUUGGCUCUCGCAUCGAUGAAGAACGCAGCGAAAUGCGAUAAGUAAUGUGAAUUGCAGAAUUCAGUGAAUCAUCGAAUCUUUGAACGCACCUUGCGCUCCUUGGUAUUCCGAGGAGCAUGCCUGUUUGAGUGUCA
rnacentral:rRNA from 1 species